CCCGUAGACGGGGGAUAGCCGGCGAAAGCCGGAUUAAUACCGCAUAUGCUCUACGGAGGAAAGUGGGGGACCUGCAAGGGCCUCACGCUAUGGGAGCGGCCGAUGUCCGAUUAGCUAGUUGGUGGGGUAAAGGCCUACCAAGGCGACGAUCGGUAGCUGGUUUGAGAGAGCGACCAGCCACACUGGAACUGAGAAACGGUCCAG
rnacentral:rRNA from 1 species